UACGUAGGGUGCGAGCGUUAAUCGGAAUUACUGGGCGUAAAGCGUGCGCAGGCGGUUCGUUGUGUCGGCGGUGAAAGCCCCGGGCUCAACCUGGGAAUGGCCGUUGAAACUGGCGAACUGGAGUGUGGCAGAGGGGGGUGGAAUUCCGCGUGUAGCAGUGAAAUGCGUAGAGAUGGGGAGGAACACCGAUGGCGAAGGCAGCCCCCUGGGCUGACACUGACGCUCAGGCACGAAAGCGUGGGGAGCAAACAGG
rnacentral:rRNA from 1 species